rnacentral:rRNA from 1 species
AUUGCUAAGACAGCUAGGAUGUUGGCUUGGAAGCAGCCAUUCAUUUAAAGAGUGCGUAACAGCUCACUAGUCGAGGAGUUUGGCGUGGAUAAUAAUCGGGCAUUAAGUGUUUUACCGAAGCUAUGGGAUACGUAAGUAUCGGUAGGGGAGCAUUCCACUCUGCGUUGAAGGCGAAGCGUGAGCUUUACUGGAGCGUGUGGAAAAG